UAUAAUUUGAUGUAAAAUGCAUAAAAAUUUUUGAAAUUUUAAGAAAUAAAAUAAAAUUAUUAGUUAUAA
rnacentral:tRNA from 1 species